rnacentral:rRNA from 1 species
AACGAACGCUGGCGGCAUGCCUAACACAUGCAAGUCGAACGAGACCUUCGGGUCUAGUGGCGCACGGGUGCGUAACGCGUGGGAACCUGCCCUUAGGUUCGGAAUAACUCCCCGAAAGGGGUGCUAAUACCGGAUAAUGUCUUCGGACCAAAGAUUUAUCGCCUUUGGAUGGGCCCGCGUUGGAUUAGCUAGUUGGUAGGGUAAAAGCCUACCAAGGCGACGAUCCAUAGCUGGUCUGAGAGGAUGAUCAGCCACACUGGGACUGAGACACGGCCCAGACUCCUACGGGAGGCAGCAGUGGGGAAUAUUGGACAAUGGGCGAAAGCCUGAUCAAGCAAUGCCGCGUGAGUGAUGAAGGCCUUAGGGUUGUAAAGCUCUUUUACCCGGGAUGAUAAUGACAGUACCGGGAGAAUAAGCUCCGGCUAACUCCGUGC